rnacentral:rRNA from 1 species
UACAGAGGGGGCAAGCGUUGUUCGGAAUUACUGGGCGUAAAGGGCGCGUAGGCGGCCCGCUAAGUCGAACGUGAAAUCCCCAGGCUCAACCUGGGAACUGCGUCCGAUACUGGCAGGCUUGAAUCCGGGAGAGGGAUGUGGAAUUCCAGGUGUAGCGGUGAAAUGCGUAGAUAUCUGGAGGAACACCGGUGGCGAAGGCGGCAUCCUGGACCGGUAUUGACGCUGAGGUGCGAAAGCGUGGGGAGCAAACAGG